rnacentral:rRNA from 1 species
UACGGAGGUCUCAAGCGUUGUUCGGAUUCAUUGGGCGUAAAGGGUGCGUAGGUGGCCUGUUAAGUCAGGGGUGAAAGACGGUAGCUCAACUAUCGCAGUGCCUUUGAUACUGAUGGGCUUGAAUGUACUUGAAGUAGGCGGAAUGUGACAAGUAGCGGUGAAAUGCAUAGAUAUGUCACAGAACACCGAUUGCGAAGGCAGCUUACUAAAGUAUGAUUGACGCUGAGGCACGAAAGCGUGGGGAUCAAACAGG